GGAGAAGCUACCGCUCUGACCAAAGCAAGGACUUCAUCUACCGUGAGGGCGCGGGGUAAAGAGCCUCCAUUCAACCGCUGCCGGUGACGACUGAGCUGCCUUCCCACGCACUGCCGCCUGGACCAGUCAAGCUGAGGGAGAGAUGGAAAACAGCACAAAAUUAAAUGAAAUAAUAGUUUCAGACUUUGGAAACUAUGCAGAGGAACACUGAUCUCUGGGAGAAGGAGUUAAACCAGUCUUGCUCUGUCACCAGGCGCCAGGCUGGAGUACAAUGGCGCAAUCUCGGCUCACCGCAAUGUCUACCUCCCAGGUUCAAGCAAUUCUCCUGCCUCAGCCUCCGAAGUAGCUGGGACUACAGGUGCAUGCCACCACGCCCAGCUAAUUUUUGUAUUUUUUUUUAGUAGAGACGGAGUUUCACCAUGUUGGCCAGGAUGGUCUUGAUCUCUUGACCUCAUGAUCCGCCCACCUCAGCCUCCCAAAGUACUGAGAUUAUGGGUGUGAGCCACCGUGCCCAGCCUCCUAUCCCUUUUUGAAAGUCAUAUUUCCUGUACUGUUUUCAUUUUAUUUUAUGAAAGGCAUGUUCUAGAAAAUCACAGAACACACUUUUUUUUUUUUUUUUUUGAGACAGGGUCUCACUCUUUUGCCCAGGCUGGAGUACAGUGGCACAAUGUCAGCUCACUGUGACCUCUGCCUCCCAGGUUCAAGUGAUUCUCAUACCUCAGCUUCCCAAGUAGCUGGAACUUCAGGCAUGUGCCACCAUGCUCAGCUAGUUUUCGUAUCUUUAAUGGAGACAGGGUUUUGCCAUGUUGUCCAGGUUGGCCUUGAACCCCUUACCUCGGUGAACUGCUUGCCUUGGCCUCCCAAAGUGUUGGGAUUACAGGUAUGAGCCAUCACACCCGGCCCACACAUUGCAUUAUAUACUUGAAAGCAAUUAAAUAAUCAGGAGCACUAAGCCAAUAAUGUGUUAAUCUUCUGGUCAGUGUGCAUAAAUUAGUAUGUAUGUAGAUGCAUGAAAAUAAAGAAUCCAACUUUUGUACCACUUUGCAUGUGAAGGCAGUAUUGGAGCAAAAUACAUUUUGAACACUUUUGUAUUGUCUAUAAAAUAUUUUACAAAUGAGUUUUCAAGGUUCUUGCUCUGUGCCUCUGUGUGAACUCCCUCCUCAAAGUUAUACUAGUUUGUGUUCCAGUGUACAAAAAGGGAAUUAAUUGGUUUACCUCUUAAAUUUCCAUAUACAAGAGUUAAAUGGGAUACUCCCAGCAGAAUUCCAAAAGAAAAACUAAAUAAAUAAAUGAACAAACAAAAAUGAUUAUCCCAUCUUUCCAAUGCCCCCUGUUGCCUCUACAUGUCCUGUGAUGGAUUUGUGUCCCUCAAAUUUCAUAGGUUGAAGUCCUACUCCCUACUACCUUAGGGUGUGACUUUAUUUGAAGAUAGAAUAAUUGCAGAUACAAUUAGUUAGGAAUGUUUUCAUCAGGGUUUACACUAAUCCAGUAUGACUGCUGCCUUCAUAAAGGGUGAUCUUUGGACACAGGCAUGCAUAGGGAAGAUGAUGUGAAGACGCAGAAAGAAGAGCCAUCUCCUACCAGGAAGAAAGGCCAGAAAUGGAUCCUUCCCUCACAGCUCUCAGUAGGAAACAAUCUUGUUGACAUCGUGAUUUUAGACUUCCAGCCUCCAGAACUGUGACAGAAUAAAUUGCUGUUAAGUUGAAAAAAAAAAAAGAUUAUCCUCCUGCAAACAAAAAUGUAAUAAGUUGUCUGCACAGAUGAGUUCAAAAGAAGAAAGAAAUAUGUUAUGUGCCAAAAAUGAAGUGGCACUGAUCCGCAGAAUGCUAAGUCCAUAAACUCACCAUGCAGUUUAUGAGAGUCUCAGUCCUUAUAAUUAAAGAGUUCUAUUUUAAGACUUUCAAGGGCUGAAUAUGAGGUCUAGGAUUUGACUGGCCUUUGGAUCAAAGAUCAAUACACAAGCCAAAAUUCUUGAAGACCUAUCCCAUUGAGAAAAAUUAUAUACUAAGGAGAGAAAAGAUGAAAACAUCUGCUAGUACAGAGCAACAAGGGAGCUUUUUCUAUCUGGGACCUGAUUGAAAAUAAAAAUGAAACACAACAACAGUGGUCUUUUCUGAGAAAUCAAAAUCCCUGGUUCUACAGCUUACAAAUUAGGGAGCCAAAUUUACAUUUUUGUGGUGACACUGACACUCCAAGCUGAAGAAUUAACAUAAAAAUUGGUCCCAGGUGGGGGAUACUCUUGAAUCUCUUGCAGAAGGUUUUGCAAACUAUGAAACUAUGCUGACAUUAGAGUACAUAAUUCAGGUCACGUGGGAAUCUUCCCUCAAAAUAGUUCAAAACACAAGAGGAGAUAAAAACAGGGGAGUAGAACUUCUAGAAUUUUAUAAAAUAGAACAAUCUGAAAAGGCUGUAGAAUAAGGUUCUGUUUUAAGAUACAAACAAAGAAAUUGAAACAAUAGGAAGGAAAUAAUGCUUUUAAAAACCAAAUAGAAUUUACUGGAAAUAAAAGUUUCACUUGUUUCUUUUUUUUUUGAGAUGGAGUUUCACUCUUAUUGCCCAGGCUGUAGAGCAAUGGCUCAAUCUCAGCUCACUGCAACCUCCACCUCCGGGGCUCAAGUGAUUCUCUUGACUCAGCCUCUUGAGUAGCUGGGAUUACAGGCAUGCACCACCACUCCUGGCUAAUUUUGUAUUUUUAGUAGAGACGAAGUUUCUCUGUGUUGGCAGGCUGGUCUUGAACUCCCGACCUCAGGUGAUCUGCCUGCCUCGGCCUCCCAAAGUGCUGGGAUUAUAGUCGUGAGCAACCGCGCCUGGCCAAGUUUUACUUGUUUCUAAGAGCAACUGAUAUGGUAAAAGAAGUUUGCCAGAAGGAUAUAAUAAUCCUGAAUUUGUUUACAGUAAGAAUAUAGCCUCAAUGCACAUAUAUUUAUAUCCAUUUUUGUUUCAAAUACAAUAAGAAAUAUUAGUCCUCUUCAGUUACUAACAGGUUAAACCAGUAAUCUGUAGAACUACAGAAGAUUUGAGCAUUUUAAUUAAUCCUUUUAACCCAAUGGACUUUGGUAUACCCCUGUACUGAAUAAUUAGAAUGCUUCUUUUCUUUCCUUUUUUUUUCCGAGACAGAGUCUUGUUCUGUUGUCCAAGCUGGAGUGUAGCAGUGGCACUAUCUUGGUUCACUGCAACUUGCUGGGUUCAAGCAAUUCUCAUAUCUCAGCCUCCUGAGUACCUGGGAUUACAGGUGCGCAGUAUCACAUGUAGCUAUUUUUGUAUUUUUAGUAGAGAUGCAGUUUUGCCAUGUUGUCCAGGCUAGUCUCAAACUCCUGGUCUCAAGUGACCCACCCACCUCAGCCUCCCAAAGUGCUGGGAUAACAGGAGUGAGCUACCACACCCAUAAAUACAUGUACAUUUCAAGCACACAUGGAAACUACCAAAAUUUUUUUCAGCCUGAAUAAAGUCUCAAAAUUACAAAUAAGCCAAUAUUAUGCAGAAAACAUUGUCUGACCAUCAAUGAAAUAAAAAUAAAUCUCUACAAUACAAAAAUAUAAUCAAAUGCCUUACACAUUAGAAAAUUAACAAAAUACAUUUCUAGAUAAUUCAUGAGCUGUGAUGGUUAAUAGUGAAUGUCAACUUGAUUGGAUUGAAGACUACAAAGUAUUGUCCUAGGUGUAUAUGUGAGGGUGUUGCCAGUGGAGAUUAACAUUUGAGUCAGUGGGCUGGGAAAGGCAGACCCACCCUUAAUUUAGGUGGGCACAAUCUAAUCAGCUGCCUGUGCAGCUAGAAUAUAGGCAGGCAGAAAAAUAUGAAAGGAGAGACUGACUUAGCCUCCUAGCCUAUGUCUUUCUCCUGUGCUUUAUGCCUCCUGUCCUCAAACAUCAGACUCCAAGUUCUUUAGUUCUGAAACACGGACUGGCUCCCCAGCCUGCAGACAGCCUAUUGUGGGACCUUGUGAUCUUGUGAGUUAAUACUUAAACUCUCUCUCUCUAUAUAUGAAUGGAAUAUAUAUAUAAUUAUAUAUAAACUAAUGGAAUAUAUAUAUCCCUAUAUAUAUAUAUUAAAAUGGAAUAUGUACAUAUAAUUAUAUAUAAACUAAUAGAAUAUAUAUGUGUGUAUAUGUGUGUGUGUGUGUGUUCUAUCCCUCCAGAGAACCCUGGCUGAUACAUGGGCCAAUAGAAAUCAAAAUGUAAAUUAAAAAAUAAUUAAUACUAGCUAGCAAUGAACCUGAUAAAUAACCAAAUUUGCCAGAUACUAGUAUUAUACUUAAAGGAAAUGUAUAGCUCUAAAUUCGUUUGAAAAGAAGUCAGAGUGAAAAGUAAUGAUUAAAACACUUAACUAAAUGUUAGAGAAAGAGUAGAAAUAGAAGGCAGAGAGAAAGGUAUAAUAAAGACCAGAUGAUUAAUUAAAUAGAAAAACAAUAAAGGAGAUAAUCAAAACUCAUAUAACCAAGUUCUCAGAUACAUGCAGGUCUGUUGUGUGUGCUCUAAUGUUUCCUGAAGUUGUUGUUGUCAUUAUUUUUUCCCUACCUCUGACAUUAUUUUAAAUACAAAUAUUACCAUAAAGCUAUUUGAAUUAAAACAUAGAAUGCAUUACCAAGUCAAUGGAUCAAGCAAAGACUAUUCAAUAAAUGGUGCUGAGACAAGUGGGAUAUGGAAAUAUAUGCAACUAGACACUUUUCACCAUAUGCAAACAUACAUUCCAAGCAAAACAAAAUAUUUUGGAAGAAAAUGUCUUCUUGUUAUUGAAGUAGGAAAUAAAUUUGCAUAGAAGACAAACACAGAAACUUUAAAAGAGUAACAAGUAAACACAUGCAAAUGUGCUCAACAUCAUUAAUGAAAUACACGUAGUAAAACCACAAUGAAUACCAAUAGUUUUCUAACAGAGAGGCCAAAAUUAAAAGAGCUGAUAUUUAUAGUGUUGACUUUGAUAAGGAGCAACUGGAACACUCAUGUACUGCUGGUGGGAGCAUAAAUUGAAAUAGCUACUUUAUUAAACUUUUUGUAGUAUCUUUUAAUUCUAAAUAAACAAAUGCCUACUCUAUCAGUAAGCAAAUCCAUACAUUCAGUAAUAUAUAUUGUAUCUUAGUUUAUGAUUUCAACAUUCAAUUAUUAAAAAUAUCCCAAAUGGCCACCAACAUGAGAAUGAAUGCUGGUAAAGGAUGAACCACUUCUACUCACACUGUGGGUGAAUCUCAGCCAACUGAGGAGCAAAAGAAGCCAGACACAUAAGUAAAUAUUGUAUGUUUCUAUUCAUAUUACAUUUACCAGCAGAUUGCCUUCAUUUAAAUGUGUCUCCUAAAAUUCAUGUCUCAGAAACUUAAACUCAAUGUAACUAUUGAGAGGUGGUGUCUUUUGGGAAAUGUCCCAAAGGCUCUGCCCUUAUGAAAGGAAUAAUGUUGUUAUGAAUGAGGAAGUUUGUCCUUUCCCCUUUGCGUUUGGCCUCGUGAUUACACAGUGCUCUCCCCCUCUGGAGGAUGCAGCAAGUUGCCAUCUUGGAAACAGGGAUCAGCCCUCAUCAAAAACAAAAUCUGCCAGCAACUUGAUCUUGAACUCUCCAGCCCCAAGAAUUGUUAGAAAUAAAUAUCUGUUCUUAUAAAUUAUCUAGUUUUAGGCAUUCUGUUAUAACAACACAAAAUGGACUUAUACACAGGCAAAACUAAUCUAUUAUGCUAGAGAUGAGAAUACUAGUUACUUUUGCAGAAUGUAUUAACAGAGAAGGGACACAAGGAAACUUGCUGAGUUCAUAAAUGUUCUAUAUCUUGAUCAGUAUGGUUGUUACACAGGUAUACAGACAUAUAAAAAUUGUAUGCUACAAUUUCUAAAAUUUAAUAGACUGUAUGUAGUUUAUACCUCAAGAAAAGGUUUAAAAAACAUUUAUCAAUUGGGUUUAUUUAAAAAGAAGAAAAAGGACAUGAUAUCUGCAAGAUAUCAAACUAGGAGGUUCAAAUUCUCAUUUCUUUUACAAAACAACGAAUAAACAACUACAUAACAAAAUAGCAAAGGGAGAGCUCUGGAAUAUAGCAAAGGAGUAGCACAAACCCCGUGGAGCAGAGAAACCUAGCAUGGCUGCAUAGAAUAGGGUGGGAAACACUUUGGUCCACCCCACUAUCAAGUCUGAAUUAUCUCAGAGACAAGAGAUAUUUCCACCUGCUUGGAAAGGAUGAGGAGGAAGAUGCCAGUGGCCCUCAUUACUACCACUAGUGACAUAAGCAAUGCUCACCAAUGGAGACCCCUGCAGUCUUUACCAGUCCUGAGCCCAACAUAAAGAGCUAAGAAGGAGCCAAGGCUGUGCCUUCUGCCUCAUGAGCUGAGUUACUGUGGUUUCAUGACAUUUUAGAAUGUUGCUGCUGUGCUGUACCCUACUGUUAGGUCCUGAAUAGCCAUUGUUUCUCUACACGCCUAAGGUCUUACUGUCCCUACAUCCCACCACCUGGAGCCUGGGUUGCCCAGUGCUCCAGUAUCUCCGGGCCUAGGCUGCUGCCGUAGGCCUGGAUCUCCAUUGUGCCCUACCUUUUCAGCAUCCUACUGCCACAGUGUCCUGGCUCCCCUGGGUGUGGGUUGCUGAGGCACCUUGCAUUAUUAGGGACUGGAGUUGCCACUGCACUGAGCCCAACAUCCAGGAGCUUGAGUGUUUACCACCUGCCUCCAAGGAAUUAGAAUCACUGCUGUGCUAUGCCAUGACUUAAAACCUGAGCUGCCAUGGUGUUCUGUCUUUCCAGGGUCCAGAGUUGCGUCUGUGCUGUGCUCAACCUCCUAGAACCUGAGGUUCUCUGGCACCCUACCACCCCAGGGACUGGUGCCAUUACUGUGCUGUGCACUGUUCUCAGGACCUGAGCUUCAAUAGUACCCCAUCUUCGCAGGGACUGCAGUUACUGCUGUGCUGUGUCCUGGCUGCCUGGAGCCUGAGUCACCAUUGUGCCCCACCCUCUGUGGCUGAGCUCCCACAGUGUCAUGUCCAUCCUGGGGUCAUGUUGCUGCUGUGCCAUGCCCCUCAGAGCCUGAGUUUCUACUGCAUCCUGACAUAGCAGGGCCUUACCACCACUGAACUCCAUCCUUUGUAUCCCUAGCUGUGGCAGUACUCUGCCUUCACAGGGACUGGAGUCACCAUUGUGCUGCAUCUUGCUCUUAGAGCCUGAGCUGCAGCUGUGCCCCAUAAUUCCGUGGGCCUUGCUGCGACUGUGUCCUGGCCCUUGGGGCAGAGCUUCUGUGGAGCCAUACCAACCCUGAAGCCUAAGUCACUGCUAUGUCCACAAAUCCCCAGUGUCUUACUGCUGUUCUAAUGCCUGGGCCAACACAGUAAUGUGUCACCCAGGUGCCUGUGCUACUGCACUGCUCCCUGCCCCUUGGGGCCAGAAUCAUGUCUGUGCCCUGACAUCCAUGGAACUAGAGUUGCUGCUGUUCCCCACCCCCCAGGACUUGAGUGGCCAGAGGAUUCCUUCGCCCUGGGCUGUGCUGCUUCUGUGCCUGUCUCUCAGGGUCCAAGUCACCAUUACCUCAUAUAUCCCCAGGCCCAUGCCACUGAGAUGAGCUCCAAAGUCCUAGACCCUGGCAACGUGGGUGAUCAGUGCAUGCCAGUGCCUUGUUACAUCAAUUUGCUCUCAAGAAUCCAGGUGCCAUGGCAGUUCACAAGCCCCUGAGCCCAGGAAGCUAGCUUUGCAGUGGCUCUGAACACCACAUUGCACUAGACACCAAAAGGGAUCCUUUUGGUUAGGUCUCCUUGCUCUAGGGAAAAGGAGAGCAAGAUGAUGCCUAAAGUCCUUGCUACUGAGGACCCCAAUGGUCCACAUUGCCAAUGCCACCACCACAAACACCUGAAACUUUAGCUGUUAAUGCUUCUGCAGUCUUCGUUAAUGCUGGCCUCAGCUGAUGAAGCUACACAGAGACUACACUGCUAUAUCUUUUUAGAACUAGAGCUAUCCAGUCAAUGCCAUUGCACCCACCUGCAGGUGGAAGUCUUUACCCACUAAAACCAGUCUUUAAAGUCUGGAAGAGAUGACUGCUCUAUCAAAUGUAUAAACAUUAACACAAAGUCACAAGAAACAUGAAAAUGGAAGAAAACAACACCACUAAAGUAACAUAAUUUUAAAGUAACUGCCCUCAAAGAAACAGAUAUUUUUAAAUUGUCUGAAAAGUAAUUUAAAAUAAUUUUCUUUUAAAAUAGAAAUGGCAAAAAAGAACCAAACAGAAAUUCUAGAGCUGAAAAAUACAAUGAAUGAAAUGGAAAAUACAAAAGUCAAAAGCAGACUUAAGCAAAAGAAAGAAUCUGUAAUCUUGAAGACAAGUUAUUUGAAAUUACAGGUUGAGUAUUGAGUAUUCCUAAUCUGAAAAUCCUAAAUUUGAAAUGGUUCAAAAUCUGCAAUUUUUUGAGUGCCAAUGUGAUGCUGAAAGGAAACACUCAUUGUAUCAUUUAGGAUUUAGCAUUUUGGGGUUAAGGGAGCUGAACCCAUUAGUAUAAUACAAAUAUUCCAAAAUCCAAGAAAUACAAAAUUCAAAACAGUCUGUUCUUAAGAAUUUCAGAUAAGAGAUACUCAAACUGUAUCUAGUUAGAGCAGAAAAAAGAAAAUAGUGAAGAAUUCUAUGAGAUUUAUGGGGCACCACUAUGCAAGCUGAUAUAUGCUUUAUGGAAAUCUCAGAGGAAUAAGAGAGAGAAAGGGUAAGAAAGCUUAUUUAAAGAAACAAUGUCUGAAAACUUUCCAAUUUUGGGAGAGAUAUGGACAUCCCAAACCAUGAAACUAAAAAGUCCACAAACGGUUCAACACAAAGAGCCCUUUAGCAAGACACAUUAUAUUAAAUUGUCGAGAGUUGGACAGAAUUUGAAAGCAGCAAUAGAAAAGUGACAUGGCACAUACGGACAAAUGACUAUUAGACAAUCAGCAGAUUUCUCACCAGAAACCUUGAGCCCAGAGACAAUGGGAUGAUAUAUUCAAAGUGCUAUAAGGAAUAUAUCAUCCACCAAAAAUACUAUAUCUAACAAAAUGCCCUUCAAGAAUAAAGGAGAAAUAAAAGUGUUUCCAUAUGUGCAAUAGCUGAGACAGUUCACUAUCACUAGACCCACCUCAUAAGUAAUGCUAACAGGAGUUCUUCAAGCAGAAAUUAUAGAACACUAACAACUAACAUAAAAUUCACUAGUAGGAUCAAGGUGGCAGAAUAGAAAGCUCCACCACUUGUUUCCACACACCCUUGCAAGAACACCAAGUGAACAAGUAUCUUUAGAGAAAAAACACCUUAAUACCAGCAAUCAGAUGAGCACUCACAGUACUUGGUUUUCACUUUAUAUAGCAGACAGAAGCACUGAAGAGACAGAAAAAGCAAUCCUAAAUCACCAAUGCCACCCCUAUGUCACCUCUGGCAGUGGCAAAUUGAUGCAGAGAGCAUCUCUGGGUGCUGAGGUAAGAACAGAGCAAUUAUGAGGUAUUGAACUCAGUGCUGUCCUGUUAGAGACAGAAGGAAAUCUGAACCAAACUCGGUUGAUUUUAGCCCAUGGGGGGAGCAUUCAAAGUAGCCUGAGCCGAAAGGGAAUGGAUCUCAGCAUUCUCAACUUGAGUGCCUGCAAAACUCAUCACUGAGAAUUACAGCACUCUGUCUCCAAGGCAGUCUUGAAAGGCAAUCUAGUUCAUAAGGACUGCAACUCUUGGGCAAGUUCUAAUGCUGAACUAGGCCCAAAGACAGUGAACUGAGUGGGCAUGAAAUAUACUGAGACACCAGCUGGGGCAGACAAAGGGGUGCUGGCAUCACCUUGGUUAUGACCAAGGCUGCACAGCUCAAGGUUCUAAGAGAGACCCCUUCCUUCCAGUUGAAGACAGCAGAGGGGAGAGUGGGAAGGACUUUGUCUUAUAUCUAGGAUAGCAGCUCAGCCACAACAUGAUAAGGCACGAGCCAUAAUUGUUAGGCCCCUGUACCAGGAACUAGCUCCCAAAUGACAUUUCUAGGCACACCCUAUGCCAGAAGAGAACCAGAUACCUUGAAGGAAAGGACCCAGUCCUGGUAGUAUUUAUCAUCUACUAACUGAAGAGCCUUUGGACCCUGAAUAAUCAGCAGCAAGACCCAGGUACUAUAUUGAAGGUCUCAGGUGAUCCUCAGACUUGCUUGCUUCAGGUGAGACUCAGCAUAUUACCAGCUUUUGUGGUUUCAGGAAAAACUCCUAUUUGAGAAAAGCAGAGGGGAAAGUAAAGGGGACUCUAUCUUGCACCUUAGGUACCAGCACAGCCACAGGGAGAUGGGGCACAAAGCAGGUUCUUGGGGUCCCCUAUUCCAUGACUUAACUCUUGGAUGGCAUUUUUGGACCUGCCCAGGACCAGAGGGGAGCCCACUGCCCUGAAGAGAGGCCAGGCAGCACUUACAACAAGCAGACUUGGGCUUUAUGGGAACACUGGCAGUAGUCUGGCAGUACUCCCUGCGGCUUGGGGAGGUAGUGCCUACGGAGUGAACCUCCUCUGCCUUUGGAAAGAGGAGGAAAUAGCGGGAAGGACUGCAUUUUGUGAUUUGAGUGCCAAAUCAGCUGCAAUGUGAUAGAAGACCAGGUAAGACUUCUAAGAUUUUGACUCUACUUCUUGAUGAAAGCAAUAUCAAAGAACUUGGUGACAUGUUUUUAAAAUCACCCAAAGCAGAAAGUCUGAACUCUGGUAAUUUUAUUUUAUGAAAUAAAUUCUUAAUAAUUCAUUAAUUCAGAGAAAGAAAGAAAGUAGCACCCCAUAGCUGCCUCACAGCUUUGGGAUACUACUUUAUUCUCACAGCUUCCUUUUUGUGGCCAUUCUCAUAAAUAAUUCUACAGAUAUUCUCCUUUUCUGUAAUUGAUUAAAGAGGUGUAAAUUCCCAAAUAAAUUAAAACUCUUUCCUUCUCAUCAAAACCUAGAGCAGCUUUGCUAAGACUUUGCUGCUUCAGUGUCCACAGUGGAGAUCAGGAUUUUACAAUAAAGACUGCUAAUACAGUAGGGUUUUUUUUGCUUGUUUGUUUUUUGUAUUCUUCUCUUUCAUUGCACUUUAAUGUAAAUAACUGGUAUUUCACUUUUUUGCCUCCUUGGUAUUUAUCAAAACCAAUACAUUAGUUUUUUGGAUUAUAUUUGCCCUAUGCAAAGCCAGUGGCUAAGAGCUAAAGAGCAGAAAUAGGCCAAGAACGGUGGCUUACACCUGUAAUCCUAGUACUCUGGGAGGCUAGUGGGUGAAUCACAUGAGGUCAGAAGUUUAAGACCAGCCUAGCCAACAUGAUGCAACCCUGUUUUUACUAAAAAUACAAAAAUUAGCCGAAAAUCUCUUGAACCCAGGUGGCAGAGGUUAGAGUGAGCCAAGAUUGUCCCACUGCACUCCAACCUGGGUGACAGAGCAAGACUCCAUCUCAAAAAACAAAAAAAGGCAGAAAGCUAAGUGCCAUUGCCAUCUUACUUCAUAAGCAUAAUUCCACCUCGAACGCUGCUCCUUUUCAGUGAAAACAAACUAAAUACACCUUGUGCUAAAGUGUAGUGAUGUCCCCUCUUCUUAGUGUGCAUGCUGAAGACAGUAUCUGUUUCUCCCUCUUUAGCCCUAUUUUUUACCCUACCUUGGAAUUACACUGUAACUUUUAUAUUUUCUUUGAUUAUAGAAGGACUCUGGUAACUUUCAAGCUCAAAACAGUCUCAUUUUUGUAAUAGAUUCGAUCUAGUGUAUUCAUGUGAAGUCUUAUUUUAUAUAAAGCAAAAUAACUUCUUCAGCUCUGCAUUGCUGCAGCCUGGAAGCCACAAUGUGAAUAGAGUGAGGGAUUUGUCUUUGUAUUUUUCUCUUUCUUUGCUUUGAGCUUUGCUGCCUCCUACCCCAGGUUAUCUCUGGAUCUUUGAGGGUUGGAGAUAAUGGGAAAGAAGAAAGCAAGGAGAAAUGUUUGUAUAUAUAUUACAAUUUUCAGAUUUUAGAACAUGAGUGUUGUUACCUUCCUCUUCCUACUCACUUUACAGUUCUCAUUCCCAUGUAUUUGUGACAUCUUAUCACACUGAGAAAUUCCAGUAUGGGGAGUUUGUACAUUGAAGGGUUUAAGGAAGCAGAACUCUUAGACCACGUGGAUGUGGUGCCCUCUAAGUACCAAACCUGAAAAGGGAAGAAAGCACAGGAUACAUGCGUUUUGAUCUCUGAUGCAUUAGAGUCUUGAGGACAAGAAUGAUAAAGAAUCAAGAGAGCCAAUGGAUAAGACCGGAGGAAAGAAAGCAGUGGGCAAGAAGAGUGGAGCUUGAGCAGGUGGGUCCAGGGUGCUGAAGCCUGGAAGGAUGGGUGCUGCCUGGACCCACAUUAUUUGGCUGUCAAUCACCUUCAGACUCCCUCAGUCACUGCCAUAGUCCACUCAGGCUCCCAUUUAUUUUCUCCUCCAUGCAAGAGAAUAGAUCAUGGAAUGCAAUGAGAAUUCAUAAUUAUACCCAAGUUUCAUGUGAUGACUAAAAUUAAUUUAAUGAGAGAUAAAAAUGUUUUAAACAAUUAGAAACAAGACUUAAAUGAAAAUUCCUCAAACUGUUAUAAAUGAGUGAAUUUAUUCAUACUAAAAAGUGAAUGAUUAAUACAAAAAUCUGUUUUUGAAAUUAUGGCAGAAGGAAAGAAAGACCACUGGACUCCAUGGGUGAUAGGGUGACAACACCCAACAUUCAGAUUUGAGAUGGCACAAAGAUGUUUAAGGAAACCAAGG